ensembl:lncRNA novel transcript
AGGUGUGCAAAAACAAGAGGUCUGGAGAAAACACAGUGAAACGGCAGGCUCCUUUGAGCCAAGAAAAGAGGUCUCAGGAUGAAACUACCUUCCUGGCACCCUGGUCUUGGACUUCCUAGACUCCAGAAUUCGUUUCUUCACAAAUGACUCUUGACCGACAAGCAAACACCACCAGGCAUCUGGAUGAGCGGCGUGUCCUGCUGCUGAUUAUUUUGAAAUAGCAGCGAUGUUUUGAAACAGGCAUGUCUCCGUUGGCAGAUAAGAAAGACGAAGUGAAGUGAGGCACCAGCACACCACAGUGCUCCGUCAAGCUCUUGUCUAUUAAACAAACGACAUAUCCCAAAUUCUACUGAUACAUGAAUCAAGAGAAGCUUCUCAAGUUAUAGAUCUCAGAGUAAAUAUAUAUACCAUCCUAUCCCAAUCCAUCUUGCUCUAAAUACUGCUUUUUCUGAGGCUGUCAAAAGCACAAGCUGCCAUGGUAAUGACAGGAAGAUAUGGGUGAAAUGCCAGCCCUAAUUAGAGACUUGAUUGCUCUGUAAUAACAAGGCCUGUAUUUGAUUUGGACGGUUCUGGGUUGUCAGGUAAAAUGAAUUAAAUAUGUCUGCACUUUCAUUUCAAAAUGUGAAAAAUGUGAAUGUGCAUUAUUUAUAUUGUAUUUCAUGGCUAUAAUUAAUUAUGUGUCUGUGGACAUGAUGUCCCAAAGACAGUUGAUUUUAUGUUCAAUCUGUAUGUGCAUUUGUAAAACUAAUUUGUUCUCAUUAAAAUUUUUAAGGGUUUAUUCGAGUUAAACUCAGGAGGCCUUUCUGGGUAUACAACUCACAAAAUACAAAGCAAAAGUCGAAUUUACAUUUUUUUUGCUAGUAAACUAUUCAAUGCCUGAAGCAUUGUACUAGAUAUUAUUGUAGUGAAUAUGGUGGGCUAUAAAAAUAAAGAGAAGACAUACUUCCUUUUCAGAUAGUGCUUUUAAACUUGUUUGGAAGACUUCGGUAUAAAACAAAUGAACAUAAUGCAACCUGAGCUUCUAUUACUUAGUAAAAGAACAUUGUGUUUUGUCAAAGAAAUAUUAAGUCUGUAUGAUGAGUUGAACAGUUUUUCUUGUGAAUAUCCUAUAGAAAUGUGGAAGAUAUUUUGCUUUCUAAAACACUGUUCGGAAUUUCUUCCAGUUGUAAUUUUUAAUAUUUGCUAAAUGUAUCAACCAUUAAUAUUAAAAUUUUCAAAUAUA